rnacentral:tRNA from 1 species
GGGGAUGUAGCUCAGUGGCACAGCGCCUGACUGGCAAUCACAAGGCCUGAGUUCAAUUCCCAGUACCCA